ensembl:lncRNA
UGACACGUAAUGAGAAAUUAUCUUGCUCAAUGAUCUUCAUUAUCAAAUGAACGUGCAGAGAGCAGUGCACAGAGUGUGCUUUUCAAAUAGCCACAAAUUAUGCAACUAAUUGCAGGACCAGACAGACAAGCUCUUCACAACACUUAGCCCUGUUCUGCAGCUUGUCCCCUUCCCAGCUGGGGAAGUGGUGUGUAGCUUCCAGGGAUCAUGUGCCAAUGUCCAAGAGCAAUGACGCUGCAGGCAACAGUCUUCUUUUCCUUUCGAAUCUGCACUGUGACAUCACAUUUUCUCUCCCUAGAGAGCAGGAAAGAGUGUACCAGCAAACUUCUUUCUGUCUUUUUAUUUUAUUCCCUUUUCUCUUUUUCUGAUGCUUUUAUUUGUGUGAGGAGACAGCAGAACUGCACCAACCCAGCAGUGGGAGGUUUGCUUACUCUGGAAUAUGAGUUUAAGGAGACAUAGGCAUUGGUGGGCAAAUCUUUAAUUUAGAACCCUCCUCAACUUCUCUCUUUGAAAGAGCAAAUAUCUCCCAGAAGCUAUUGUGAGGAAAGGCUGAGAGAGCUGGAACUUUUUAGCCUGGAGAAGAGGAGGCUAAGGAGAGGAAUCUUAUCAAUGUAUAUUAAUACCUGAAGCCAGGUUCUUUUCAGUUCCCCCUGAACUGAAGUUUUCCCCCCCAAGUUGAGUUCAUGCUCUGGAGGGAUAUGAGACAAGUGAGGAGUAAAAUUAGAAAGCUAAACUUUUUGAACUUCCAGCUUUUCAAAGAGUCAAUAAAACACCCUGGGAAACUGUCCUUGUGAGCAAGGGUCUGGAGCAGAGCAGGCAGAUCUUUAAGGAGGCUUUCCUCAGAGCACAAGAGCUCUCCAUCCCCAGGUGUAGCAAGUCAGAAAAGUAUGGUAAGAGACCUGUGUGGCUGAACUGGGACCUGGUCAUCAAACUGAAGAGCAAGAACAAAAUGCACAGGCAGUAAGAGCAGAGACAGGUACCUAGGCUGCAUAGGGAUAGGGUCUGGAAAGUCAAGGCCCAGCUUGAACUGAACUUGUCAAGGGAUGCCAAAAAGAACAUGAAAGGCUACCUCAACCAGAAAAGGAAAGCCCAGGGUAGUGUACCCCACCUAGUGAGUGACACAGGCAAGCUGGUAAUAACAAACAAGGAGAAAGCUGAGGUACUUAAGUUUUUUGCCUUGGUCUUCUCUGCUAACUGCUCACCACACAGCCCUCAAAUAUUUGGUUUGAUGGAUGGGGAUUGGGGAAGCAACAUCCCUCCCACUGUAAGUGAAUAUCAGGUUUGUGACCAUCUGAGGAACCUGAAUAUCCACAAACCAAUGGGUCCUGAUGAGAUGCAUUCCAGAGUCCUGAGGGAAUUGGCUGAUGUAGUCAUGAAGCCACUCUCCAUGGUAUUUGAAAAGUCGUGGCAGUCAGGUGAAGUCCCUGGUGACUGGAAAAAAGGUAGUGUCAUAUCCAUUUUUAAAAAGGGUAAAAAGAAUGACACUGGGAACUACCAACUUGUCAGUCUCACCUCUGUGCCAGGGAAGAUCAUGGAGCAGAUCCUCCUGGAAGCUACACUAUGGCAUAUGGAAGGCAGGGAGAUGAUAAGUGAGAACCAGCAUGGCUUCACCAAGAAGGGCAAAUCCUGCUUGAGCAGCCUAGUGGCCUUCUACAAAAGUGUCACUGCAUCAAUUGAUAAGGGAAGAGCCACUGAUGUCAUCUAUCUCAACUUCAGUAAGGCCUUUGACACGGUAACCCACAACAUUUUCCUCUCCAAAUUGGGAAGGUAUGGAUUUGAUGUUCAGUGGAUGAAGAACUGUCUGUAGGAUCAAGUCCAGAGAGUGGUGAUAAAUGGCUCAGCAUCUGGAUGGAGAUCAGUGACGAGUGGUGUCCCCCGGGGGUCAGUGCUGGGGAUGAUACUCUUUAAUAUCUUCAUCACUGACACAUUGACACUGGGGUCAAGUGCGCCCUCAGCAAGUUUUCUGAUGACACCAAGCUGUGGGGUGCAGUUGAUGCACCAGAGGGACAGAAUGUCAUCAAGAGGGACCUAGGCAGGCU